AACAAACAAGGCCUAUUAUAGCAUUUUUUUAUAGUGUUUUCCCGCCCACGCUAUAAUAAGUGGGCUUCCAUUCCUUUUCUUUUCAGUUCAAUAGCGUUUCAUUAAAACUCCUCUCCCUCCAGCGUUUUCUUCCCCUUCCAUAGCGUUCCAAAACACAGGAAAAAAAGGCACCCAACUUUUCGCGCUCUCGCUCUGAUAUUUGCCCAAAUAUUUCUAAUUUCCUCCCAAUUCCCAGUGUGUACUUCCUUUGCACGAUAGCUCCCAAAUCCCAAACUAAAUCGCUUCAUCCCACGAUAGCUCCCAAAUCCCAGACUGAAUCGCUUCAUCCCAGAGUGAAUCGUUUCAUCCCCAGACUGAAUCUUUUCCCUUCUCAUCUACUUACUCAGGGAUUUCAAGUUGUGCGAGCUGCUGUUGCUAGCUAAUGGGUCGAUUUUGGGUAUUCUAGGGUUUCACUCGUGAGCACCAAAUAUGGCCUCCAAAAAGUGUUAAAGAUUCUGGAUCUCGACUUCAUUCAAAGCUUAAGGAAGCAAUCAUCCAGGUAAUGCUCAUUCUUGGUUUUUUUGUAGUCAAUCUUAAAUAUAUGGUUACAUCAUGCUAAUCUAACUGACACUAAAAUUACUAUUUCUAAUUUAGAUAACCUUUCUUUAUUUUAUUUAUUUAUUUUUCAAAUGGCGAUGCAUUUUGUUUUUUAAUUGUUGCAACAUAUGAUGUCUUCAUGAUGAUAGAUAAUUACCCAAGUUAUAAUGGCAAUGUGGAAGGAGUGGCUAGGGUAAAGAACCUAACCUUUUUGUCACUGUAAGCGCAAAGUGGCUACCCUCAUGUUCAUACCUAUUGCCUUGGCCUUAAUAGGUUACCAUUUGGUGUGACUAUAGCCAAUUAAUUAUUAGUUCCACAAUUGUGUUGAUUUCAUUUUGUUUUGACCAUAAUAAACUGUGCUGACUGGAUGAUAUGAAUGAAAAGCGUAUUAGCUUAGGGUCAUUUUUUUUUUCAUGUACUAUUUUCUUCCUCCGUCUAGUGAAUUUGUGAAAAGAGAUAAGAAAGUGCCUUAGUUUGGAAGUUAUCUAAUUUUAGGGACUAAGAUUUGAUGUUGACAUGAGACAGAAGUGAGAUACAUGGGAAGCUUUGUGGACACUUUUGUUUGCACAACUAAUUCUGUCCAACCAACACAAGCGAGGGUGUGUAUGAUGGUGGGUGGUGGGGAGGAAACAGGUAGGCCUACUUAUGCGUUCCCUUAUCUAUUAUAACUCACACAUGCACCAAUUCCACUGUGAUCUAGAAACUGCCCCUCCUUACCGGUAUUGAUAGGAGACACUACUAUCUUUGCCAGCUGGUGGUCCAGGCUUCUAUGACUAAGUAUCAAAGAAAAGUCUUACCUUAACUCAAAGGUUUGUUUCAGCAACUAAAAGUUUGUAACCCCACAAGAUGACAAGAUACUAGAAAAUUUCAGACUAGUCCUGGUGGUUUUCCCAGGUGAAAAAGGUUGAACGUCAAGCUGAAAGUUCUCUCUCUCUCUCUCUCUUUCUCUCUCUCUCUCUCUCUCUCUCUCUCUCUCUCUCUCCCUCAAAGUGACAUGAUAUAUGCUGGUCAAAAACCUCAAAUUGGCCAAAAUGGGAAAUUUGUAUGGAUAAUCUAGAAAGACUUGGAAAGGGCCAAAAUAUAUGCAAUAUUCAUAAGAGAGAGUUACCAGGUCUGGUUUCUUGAUGGAGUGAAAUAUUUCACUAAGAUUCUUCCCCCUCUAUCUUUGUGUUGGUGUUAGUAAAUUUAACUAGUCACAAUAGUAGAUGACGGAGAAUAUGCAAGGGAUAGACCGGUCUUAUCCUGUGCUGUAAGGCACAUUAGGGAAUGUGAAACCUUUUAUUCACCUUUUUUUUGGUGUUCACCAGAUUCUUUUGAUGAAAGCUAAUAUGGUAGGAAAGAUCUAUAUAAGACCCUCUUUGGAUCCUCUUGUUUUUGUUGAUGUAUUGCCUUAAAAAAUAAAUGGAAUCUUGAGGAUUAAGAAUAACUUGCUCAAAUUUUUGCUUUGUGACACCUUUUUGGUUAAAUUGGCAAUUGCAUUGGAAGAAGCAGCAAAGGAGGUGCAGUCCAUCUGCAAAAAGUAGUAGACCAAUACUUAUUAUUACAAUAUAUAGAAACUUACUCUAAGGCCGUAAUAAUACAGAAAUCGAGGACUUGAACUCCUUUCUAUUUUUCUUUUACUUUUUGCUAGUUGAUCCUUUUUACUAGUACUAUGCAAAAUGCUU